AUUUUUUCCCGCAAUGUUCUAUAGGGCACGUCCGUAAGCUGGACCUGCCAUUGGAAACACACGCUGAGGCUCUAUACCCCAUGGCCGUGUGCAUCCCCAAGUUUAAGCUUAUGGCUUGAUGACUGCGCUAUCAGUAGUGGUGGGUAUGCUACAGCGACGACGGUAGCUGUCUGAGAAAGACGAUCAGCGAUGGACUGAGAUACGACCCAGACUCUACGGGGGCAGCAUUAGGAAUCUGCGCAUGGGGCAUCCUGACGCAGCGACGCCGCGUGCGGGAUGAAGGCAUUCGUGUCGUAAACCGCUUUUACGGGGAAGAAGAAUUUGACGGUACCCGUCGAAUAAGCCCCGGCUAACUACGUGCCAGCAGCCGCGGUAAUACGUAGGGGGCGAGCGUUGUCCGAAGUUACUGGGCGUAAAGCGCGCGUAGGCGGUUUCUUAAGUUCGGGGUGAAAGGUUCAACGCUCAACGUGAACAGUGCCUUGAAUACUGGGAGACUUGAGUUCGGGAGAGGGCAGUGGAAUUCCUGGUGUAGCGGUGAAAUGCGUAGAUAUCAGGAGGAACACCGAUGGCGAAGGCAGCUGCCUGGCCUAGAACUGACGCUGAGGUGCGAAAGCGUGGGGAGCGAACAGGAUUAGAUACCCUGGUAGUCCACGCCGUAAACGAUGAGUGCUAGGUGUUCGGGGUAUCGACCCCCCGGGUGCCGCCGCUAACGCAGUAAGCACUCCGCCUGGGGAGUACGGCCGCAAGGUUGAAACUCAAAGGAAUUGACGGGGGCCCGCACAAGCGGUGGAGCAUGUGGAUUAAUUCGUCACUAACCGAAGAACCUUACCCAGGCUUGACAUCGCGUGUAACUCAGUGAAAGCUGAGCCCCUCCGCAAGGAGGCACAAAGACAGGUGUUGCAUGGCUGUCGUCAGCUCGUGUCGUGAGAUGUUGGGUUAAGUCCCGCAACGAGCGCAACCCUCACCGUAUGUUGCCAGCGUAAAGUCGGGAACUCUUACGGAACUGCCCGUGCAAGCGGGAGGAAGGUGGGGAUGACGUCAAGUCGGCAUGGCCCUUACGCCUGGGGCUUCACACAUGCUACAAUGGGCAGCAACAGACGGCUCCGAGACCGCGAGGUGGAGGGAAUCCGAGAAAUCUGUCCUCAGUUCGGAUUGCAGGCUGCAACUCGCCUGCAUGAAGCUGGAAUCGCUAGUAACCGCAGGUCAGCUAAACUGCGAAUGC
rnacentral:rRNA from 1 species